CAAAAAUUAGCUGGACGUGGUGGUGCGUGCUUGUAAUCCCAGCUGCUUGGGAGGCUGAGGCAGGAGAAUUGCUUGAACCUGGGAGGCAGAGGUUGCAGUGAGUUAAGAUCAUGCCACUAUACUCCAGCCUGGGCAACAGAGUGAGGCUCUGUCUCAAAAAUAAAAAUAAAAAUAAAUAAAUAAAAUAACAUGGAAUAAGAAGUUAGCAACACUUGGACUUGGAAAACACUUUGGAAGCACAUCCAGAUGCUAGAAAGAGCCCUAUGUUAAGCAAAUAAAAACCCUGCAUCACUGUGUUUUUCCAAAAAUAGACUGCAUUUGAUAUCAACUUCGAAAAGCUUAUAGUGUUUACAUAAUGUAGAAAAAAAUCCAAGCUUCAUACUUAGCUUUUUAAUGUACACGUAGAGCCUACACUUUUUGUAUUUUACCAAAUAUUCUUCAAAGGAGUUAUAGCUUAGGAUUAAACAGAAUUUUUUUUUUUUUUUUUUGGAAGAACAACCUUAAAGUGUGCCAUAGGUAAAAGAACCACUUUAGGGGAAUAUUCUAUUAAACAUGUUUUCAUGGAGGGAUCAUAUAGCAUGCAAUUAUUUUGCAGUUACCUUUCAGCCCCUUGCUAUGUAAUUAUUCAUUUAGUUAUGUGUGCUUUACAAAUUCGCAGCCCCAAAGAGCUAAAAAAAAAAAAAAUUACACAGAAAAUGGUGAUUAUCCUUAGAGUUACAUGGUUUCUCAAAGCAUUUAAUUUGCCAUUUAAUUUGUUAGGUCUGAAUUCAUAUCACGACCUCAUGGUAAUCAUGUGCUUACAGAGGGACUUCCAUGGAUGUUGGGGCCUCAAAAUAUUGUGGGAAAGCACUUAGGAACAGGUGCAAAUCCAAAAUGUUCUCUGUUAUACAGAAUUCAUAUUUGGGCUCAAACACAUUUUCUGCAGGAGCUGGAAGGCUGAUGUCUCCUGGGCCAUAGCCCAGCCAUUUGUCACACCUGAUGCCAUUUUUGGAAGUAGACCUUUCGCUCUGAAAAUGAACAAGCCCAAAGUGGCUGGGCCAGGAGACCCACACUGCAGAAGGAGACAGGGCAAGGAGAGCAGCAUGCUCUUCCCUUUCUUUGAACUUACAGAACUUAUUGCCUGGAACUCUGGGUCUGUAAUAACUGUUUCUGACUUUACUCUGUAUUCUCUUUUACAGGGGAUUGUAUUUGAACCUUGGGUACCACGGUGAUAACGUUAUUCUCUUUUUGUGCUUUUGUGGCUGGGCCGGGAUGGGUGGAAGUUAGAGGGCUUCUGCACCACCUCUCCUCAGCUGCUUCACUUCCCUCUCCCUGGGGUAGUGAUCUUGCUUUCCAUAACACUCUGGCGGCAGAGAAUCUGUGGGACCCAUUCCAUGGGCAAGCCAAGGCCAACAGCAAAAGCAAAGGGGAGAUGUCUCCCUGGCUCGUGGCCCACUGACAGGGCCGAUAUGACAUUCCAACUCCUUGGCCUUUGUGGACUGAGUCCUCUGGGGACUUUAGGCAAAGCCUCUUCCCCCAAAGCUUAAUCUCAUUAACAGAGGAGCGCUUAGCUCUGAAAAAGACAGUAUGUCUCAGCAGGUGUACAGAUUGACGUUAGGUUCUGCAAGUAAAAACAUAGUCAAGAAUAAAGCUAUGUUACCUGUAAGGGUAAGAGGCUUGAUUGUACAUUUUGGAUACAGCGACCCUUAAUACAGUACAUGGUUUUAAUCUGGUUUCUCUAAAAUCUUUAAAAUCAUGCUGAAACUAUGCCUAUCGAUAAUAACCCUGUUGAAUUGUAAUGCUAUGAUUACAGAAUUUAUACAGAAAUAGCACUAGCCCUUUAAAUAUCCAUGCACCAUAAGAGGCAGGAACAACAGGAUAAAUCUCCAUUCUCUAGAAUCCCACGUUGGUUGUAUAUGGUGUUUUUGUGUGUUUGUUUGUUUGUUGUUAAUAAUCUCUUUAAAAUGCCUUUUUUCAAUAUCAGUCCAAAUAAUGUCAACCUACCGUGAUGAACAAUUGAAAAGGAGAAAGAAGAAGGAGGAGAAACAAGAGGAAAAUAACCAUAGCUAAAGGCCAGGGGAGGCGUGCCUGUGUGAGGAUCCAUGCUAUUAAGUGGUUUAAAUGCGCCACUUCGUGUAGUGUACAUAACUAUCUAAGAAGGACACAUUAUCAGCCCUGUGUGACACAAGAGGAAGAUGAGUCCCAGAGAAGGGGAUCAACUUGUCCAAGGUCACACAGAUAAUUAGUGGUAUAGGCAGGACUCAAACAUAGGCCAACUGACCCAAGAGCUUUAGGCUUAACCAUUGGGAUUUUUAUUUUUAAGCAUUUUGGAUUUGGGGAUUGAAAUAAAUGAACACAUGAAACAAACUGGCAUAAUUAAAUAUAUUAGAACAUAUAAACCAAUUUUCUUUUCUUUUUGCUUUUUGUUUUUUUGUUUUGUUUUAGAGACAAGGUCUUGCUCUGUCAUCCAGGAUGAAGUGCAGUAGGUGCCAUCAUGGCUCAUUGCAGCCUGCAGCUUCUAACUGCUGGAUCAAGAGAUACAGCUUCAGCCUCCCAAGUAGCUGUGACUACAGACACACGCCACCAUACAUUGCUAAUUAAAAAAAAAUUUUAAUAUCUUUGUAUAUUUUUCUGUUCACUUUUUUUUUUUUUUGAGACUGAGUCUCACUCUGUUGCCCAGGCUGCAGUGCAGUGGCGGAAUCUCAGCUCAUUGCCACCUCGGCCCCCCGGGUUUAAGUGAUUCUCCUGCCUCAGCCUCCCAGGUAGCUGGGACUACAGGCGUACACCACCAUGCCUGGCUAAUUUUUGUAUUUUUAGUAGAGACGGGGUCUCACCAUGUUGGCCAGGCUACUCUUGAACUCCUGACCUCGGGUGAUCCACUUGCCUUGGCCUCCCAAAGUGCUGGGAUUACAGGCGUGAACCACUGCACCCAGCCUACUUUGGAUAUCUUUCUAUACAGUCUCACUAGGUUGCCCAGGCUGGUCUUGAAUCCCUGGCCUCAAGUGAUCCUCCUGCCUUGGCCACUCAAAAGUGCUAGAAUUACAGGCAUGAACCACUGCUCCUGGCCCAGCUGUUUUAAAAAGCAACAAUCUUGAAUUGUAAUGUUUGCCAAUUUUUGUGGUGCAAAUACUCCCUCUAUGGUUGAUUUCAAGCUGCCAAUGGUUUAGUACCCAGGUUGCAAAAUUCCUGAAUAUUUAAAAAUUGUCUCUCUCACCACCUGGCUCCAGCACACCCCUGUCUGUUAAUAUGUAAUGGAGAGAGUCUGAUGUAGGUUUAGGACACAGAGCCUUGGGCUCUUCUGCCUCUUAUAUGAUGCUGUAGCAUGACUCAACUAUUUUGAGCUUCAGUUUCCUUCCUCAACUGCAAAACAAGAAAGUUGAAAGAAUCAAUUGCUUUUACUUAAUUUUUUUUUCAAGGCACCUGAGGAAGGGUUUAUUCCAUGUGAAUUAAUCAGGGAAAGCCAACAUAGUAUUUUUUUUUUUUUUUUUGCUUCUUUUUGAGAUGGAGACGCUCUCUGUUGCCCAGGCUGCAGUGCAGUGGCACGAACUCGGCUCACUGCAACCUCCACCUCCUGGGUUCAAGUGAUUCUCCAGCCUCUGCCUCCCAAGUAGCUGGGAUUAUAGGCGUGAGCCACCAUGCCUGGUUAAUUUUCAUAUUUUUAGUAGUGACAGCGUUUCACCAUGUUGGCCAGGCUGGUCAUGAACUCCUGAUCUCAAAUGAUCCACCCACCUUGGCCUCCCAAAGUGCUGGGAUUACAGGUGUGAGCCACCAUGCUGGGCCCAUAGUAUUUCUUUUUAAAUGUGAAGUUGGGGAAUCUGCUAGUAACUAAAAAGGUUACUUUUAAGAAGAAACAUUCAAUCUUAAGUUUAAUGAAAUUCAUUACAUACAGUUAUCUAUUCCCCUUCCCACCCCCUAAUCUUGUCUAGGCUUUUCUUUAACUUGCUUCCUUAUUGGGUAAUAGUUGGAACAGAGACAAUCAAAGUCACUUCGUGAUUUCACUUUGGAAGUAUUUUGAUUUUCUAAGGCAAAGGUGAGGGUAUUUAAUAUAAUUAGUUUCCUGUGUAAUCCUAUUUAUUGUAUUGCAUAUGCAUAUAAAAGUAUUAUUGAAAAGUAAUCCACAGACUUCUCAAGAGUGCUAGAGAGUGUAUGGCGCAAAAAAAAAAAAAAAAUCUUUAGGAAGAGAAUGUUUUCCUUCCUCGGUGCUGAAGAGGGGAGAUUUCUAGCAAAGGAAUUAAGAGCCACUCUCCUCAUUGGACUCUCUCAAAGUGCAAAAGGAAAAGAAAAUGUAUACCUUUUUCUUCUGAAUAAAUAUCUAAAAUUAACGGAAAUUUAUUAGGGAUAUAGAGUUUUGAUUGACUUUCUUUCACAAAGCAUGUUAUCCAUUUUUCCACCUCCCUCCUUUUUUUAAAAAAUUAUUUGCUAUAUAGUUUUUAGGUCAAUGUUUAUAGUUGAAAAAUAACAUUCUCUCCCUUAUGGGGAAGCAUGUGAUUUCAAGAUAAUCUACAAUGAAAGAAAAACUUUUAUGUUCUCAUGUUGGAGAGUUGGAUGUCUCUAAACUUUCUUGUCUAACAGGAAGAUGACUUUAGUAGAGACGGGUUUUCUCCAUGUUGGUCAGGCUGGUUUCCAACUCCUGACCUCAGGUGAUCUGCCUGCCUCGGCCUCCCAAAGUGCCGGGAUUAUAGGCAUGAGCCACUGCGUCCGCAGGAAGGUGACUUUACAUUGCCUCACUCCUGUAAUGAAUACUGUGGAGACCUGCCACUUGCCAGGUCGGCUGAAGGCACUGGGACCAGUGAGAUAAAUGUCAUACCCCAUCUUCAAAGAACUCCCAAAUUCACAGAGGAGGACAUGAGGUGAACAAAACAUUAUGACACAGGCGGGCAGUGAGUGCUGUAAGACAAGAAGAAGCUGUGGGAGAGUGUACCUACUACAUGUGGCUAGACUGUCCCCACAUAUGGGUCAAUCACAGCUAUAUAGGUUUUCUCUAUUAAAAUUAUUUUCUUUUUAUUGAUUAGUACAGAAUUUUAUUUUAUUUUAUUUUAUUUUUUUUGAGAUGGAGUUUUACUCUUGUCGCCCAGGCUGAAGCGCAA
rnacentral:lncRNA from 10 species